AGAAAUGAAAGAAAGUGAGAGGCGUUUUUGAUUUAAUCAGAAAAGGGGGAGGGAUUUUAAUUAAGGAAAUAGAUUAAGAUUUAAUUAAAGAAGUAAAUAGAUUGUUUAUUAGUUAUUAUGGUGGGUCCAUGAAUGGCAAAUAAAGUAAAUAUGAAAGUCAAAGAAGGGUAAAAUUGUAUAAAAAGUGAAAUAGGACUCUUUUUCGUGGACAAAAAAAAGAGGUGAAACAGGACUAUUUUUCGUGGACGGAGGGAGUAUAAAUUUUGUUUCGAAAUAUAUUAAUUUUCAAUUAUUUUGAUUUUUCUCAUAAUUGUAAUUUUUUUAGUGAAAAUUAAAAUGCCACUGUGGGUAGUUGAAAUGACCUCGUGGCAACUAAAAUAAUGUAAACAUUCAAUUUUAUCGUUUAGUAUAUGUAUACAUUUCAGAUAUACACCUGAAUAUUAACUUGGAGGCAAUUAACAAUCAUGAGAAAAUAAGAACAACUGAAUCUUCAUAUAUUUGGAGUCAAAAGUUUUUAAUUAUUGUAUACAUUGAGGGGUGUUUAUUUUGCAUGAUUGAUAAGAUGCAUGAUUGAAUAUUUUUUAUCAUAAUCAAAGUAGGAUUUCUCUAAUCUCACCUUUUCAGUUUGAUAAAAGUCAAGCAAAAUUAUCUUAAAUGAUUAAAACAAUCAAGGGCCUUGAGAUAUCCCAAAAUUACAAUCCAUCAAAAAAAUGAAAAGAUUAAAUCUUGCUAUUUUUAUGAAUCAAUCCUAAUCUUUCGAAGUAAGAGUAGGGUCAAAGUUGAUGUAUAUAAGUGUAAUUGUACUAAUAUUUAAGUGUCUGUUUGAUUAUGCAGGAGCAACAGUAGGAUCUUUCCUCAUGUUAACAACAAUUGCAGCUCUGAUCUUCCUCUGUAUCACGAUCAUCAAAGACCGCGAGAAUCGGAAGAAGAUCGAAGGGUUUCUAGACGACUACAAAGCCCUGAAGCCCACGAGAUUCGGCUACUCCGACAUAAGAAAGAUCACCAAUCAAUUCAGCGAGAAACUCGGCGAAGGCGGCUACGGCAUCGUCUACAAAGGCAAGCUCUCGACUGAGAUAAGCGUGGCCGUGAAAGUCCUCAACAACUCCAAAGAGAACGGGGAGGAGUUCGUGAACGAGGUGAGCACCAUCGGCCGGAUCCACCACGUGAACGUGGUUCGCCUCGUAGGCUUCUGCGCGGAGGGCUUCAGACGAGUCCUCGUCUACGAGUUCCUACCAAACGACUCCCUCGAGAAGUUCAUCUUCCAGGAAGACUCCAAGCGGAGCUCCCUCAGUUGGGAGAAGCUUCUAGAUAUCGCGCUAGGGACGGCCAAAGGCAUCGAGUAUCUCCACCAAGGCUGCGAUCAGCAGAUCCUGCAUUUCGACAUCAAGCCUCACAACAUCUUGCUAGACCAAAACUUCAACCCCAAGGUCUGUGAUUUUGGUCUAGCCAAGCUCUGCUCCAAGGAGCAGAGCGCCGUGACCAUGACGGCCGCUCGGGGCACGAUGGGGUACAUCGCCCCCGAGCUCCUGUCCAGGACGUUCGGGAGGGUGUCGUAUAAGUCGGAUGUGUACAGCUUCGGGAUGCUGCUGCUUGAGAUGGUUGGCGGGAGGAAGAAUGUGGAUCUUAAGAUAAAUAAUAGCCAGGUUUAUUUCCCACAGUGGAUAUACAAUCAUUUGAAUCUUGGUGAUGAGUUUUGGGUGCAUAUUGAGGAAGGUGAGCAUCAGAGUGAUAUAGCGAGGAAACUAACUGUUGUUGGGCUGCAUUGUAUUCAGUGGUAUCCAGCAGAUCGACCGUCCAUGAAAGCUGUGGUGCAGAUGCUUGAAGGAGAUGGAUCGGAUCUCGAGAUGCCUCCAAACCCAUUCCCUACUGCAAAUGCCACUAAUUUGGUUGCAGGGAUAAUACCUCAAACACAUUUCCAAAUUGAGUUGCCACUCAUCUUAGAAAACGAGUGAAAGUCAGUAUAUAGGCUGGAAGGGGCCAAGAUAUAAAUAUUAGCAGCAGCUCAGUUAGCUGUUUCGACCGUUAAGGAUUUUUUUUUUUACUCUUUUGAGGCUUGCAAAAUCUAAUGAGGUAUGCAAGAGCCUUUAUUUCUUAUUUUGCCCGAGACUCAUAAUCUUAGGAUUGGGGCUGUGUAGAUUUUCUCAGCGUCUGAUUUUAGAUGGUGUUUCUGUUUUUCUUCCUUUUUUUUCAUUUGUCUUUGUAUUGCACCAUUAAUAAAAUGAAGUAUAAAUGUGGACUAGUUAGAGAAAAUUGUCAGCUGUGCUAGUGAAUAUAUACAGGGUUGGGUUGGGUUGCCGUAGUACCGUGUCCUUAGGUAGUACGUAGUACCCAAUCUACAUUAUUAGAUCAAAAGAGCGGCAUUAACAGGAUCAUGACACGUGUAUUUUCACGCGGAUCAGACGGGUUGACCCGUUCCGCCUUUUUCAUUUUAUUUAACUUUCGAGGGUAACGGCGUCAUUUCACAAGAUAGUAAUAAUUAGAUUUUUUUACAGUAAAAAUUAAUUACAUCAACAACUGUCUUAAUUCUUAUCCCUUUUCAUCGGAAUCCAAAUUGUUCAUCUUCCAGAAUCCAAGUUUCUUCUCCCAUUCAUCAACAAGCGAGGAAGAAAUCUUCUAAAAAGUUGACGGUUAGUUAAUAGAAUUUCAUCUUCUCGUUUUUGCAUUUACUUCGUAAUAGCUAUGCAUAUCAGGUUUUAUACAUGUAAACCAUACAAAAAACCAUAAAUCAACUUAUUUUAGAGUUCAAAGAAGACCAUGUUUGUUAUUUAUCCGAACAGAAAACCCUAACUUUACUAUUUUGCAAUCGAAGAAAAAGAACACUACAUUCGAAUGUGCCUUCGGGGUAUUGAAAAUGCACUGGGGUAUUUUGAGGAGCAACUCUUUCUACCCGGUGAAGUCUCAAAAUCGUCUAAUCAUGGCGUGCUUCAUUUUGAACAAUUACAUUCGAACUAAGAUGCCGAACGAUCCUAUCGAGCAAGAAUUUGACAUAGCAAACAUGGAUGCCGAAGAUGAUAGCGAGGGGGACCGUGAGUUCAUAGAUGCAGUAGAGUCUUCACCCCAAUGGAAUGCAUUGAGAGAUGCACUAGCAUGGGAAAUGUGGCAAACCUAUUUAAACAACAAUUGAGCAGACAAUAUAUGUGUAGAAUUUGGGGUAUUUUCUGUAUUUUGUACUUCAUAGAUACUUAGGUAAUUGUGUCUGUCCUUUGGUUAACAAGUUGCUGCACCAUUUAGAACAGGGGAGCAUUUAUGGUAAUUUAUGGCUUCUAAUAGUAUUUAUGCUAGAGAUCGAACAUGAUUUAUGCUAGCUGCAAAGUAUUACAUAUAUAUGUUUGUUAAUCCAUGAAGCUUGCUGCUAUGCGAUUGAAUGCUCUUCAAUGUUAACCAAUUGAUUGGUUAUGGAGAUUAUAUAUAGGGAGAGGUUCAUUUGAGAAAGCUAUAUAUUGUUAGAAAUGAGAAGAAUUUCAGUCCAUUCGAUCAACAUGAUCUGACGGCCAUAUAUUUUUCUUAAGUUAGACGUGUGUUUUGGUAGUAAAGGUUAGUUUAGUCAUUGUGAUGUUAACAGCAAUGUGUAACGUUCACUAAUUAUUGCUAAAAAAAACUGAUAGCUUUGAGUAAGGCUACACAACAGAUAUGGUUAAUUAUUAUUUGAUUCAAUGGUAUAAUCUACCGAAAAUAGCUUUGAGUAAGGCUACACAACAGAUAUAGCUUUUUCGCACUUCGUAGCCACCAUCAAGCCGAAGAAAAUUCUUCCAGAUGCGAAAUGGGUUUAACAGGUUUUUCUUUAAGCUCAUAUUAAUUAUUUUCGAUAGAUAUCAUUGUAAUUUAUAUUUCAUUGAAAUGAACUUGUUUGAUGAGAAUAUUAUUUUUGAUGAACUUAUAUAACUUCUGUCAUUCAUUCGUUCCUUUUCAAUGAUUAAAAUGAGGAGAAUUUCAUAAACCAUGUAUUAUGGAGAUAAGUAUGUGAUAUGUAAUAAUUCACCAUUUGCCUCCAUGCAAUGAAAUAACCCGUUCGACGAAUCUGCAAUGAACAUGAGUAUUUCGUGAAUAUAGGAUAGGUUGAUAUACAUACUUGUAUUCUUUUUCGAAGCUGAUUAAUUCACCAUUGGCGUGCUCCUCAAUUAGUUGAUUAAGACACCUCAAGUUAAAAUAUAAAAUUCUGUUAUCUCCUAUUUGGGUCAUUAUAUUGUGUUUUUCGACUAGUUGCAUUAUCUCGUUCACAUAUUGUGUUUGUUUAGAUUGCUUGGGAGCAUACACGCGCGAACGUCAGUGUUGUAUCCCUGCCUGUGAAGAGUCUAUAAAACCAUAUGAAGGCCAGGUGUUUGACACUUUGAAUGCUGGAGUAAUGUUUUACAAAAGAUAUGCGGCUGCUGUUGGAUUCCAGGCUCGCAUGAGUACUAUUAUAUAUGCGACAGAUGGGUCAAUUCGUAUACGGUAUGUUUUAUGCAAUAGGGAAGGAGUGUGGGAUAAGGCCGAUGAAGCAGAGUUUGACCCCAAAAAUCCCAAGGCCAAGAACGGAAGACCACUUCUUGCAGGGCCGAUUGCAAGGCCAGAGCCAUAUUUCAAGUAUCGUCGGGUGGUGUUUAUAAGCUCCGUACUUUCAACGAAGGACAUACACAUCUCAUGGUACCUGCUCACGCCCGUCAUUUGAUGGCCUGCAAUAGGAAAGUUGGUGAAUUCGAGCAAUCCUUGAUAAUUUCUGGUAUCAAAGCGAACAUUGGACCUAUGCGUACUUUCCGUAUUUAUAAGGAAAUCAUGGGUACCUAUGAAGGCAUCGGGUGCACCGGCACUGACUUUAAGAACUAUGUUAGAGAUCUUAAAGUCUAUUCCAAAGAUUCAGAUGCAAAUAUGUUGAUCGAGGCAUUGAAAAACAAGCAGGAGUUAGGUCAUGGAUUUAGGUUUUUCCACGAUGUGGACGAAGAAAAGAGAUUGCGCCGACUGAUUUGGACCGACGAAAUAACCAUUAGGAAUUAUGAACUUUUUGGCGAUGCAGUAUCAUUCGACGCCACUUAUAACACCAACAGGUAAUUAUCAUUUUCAAGAUUGAAUCAACAGUAGUUUCAAUAUGUUUGAGUAUGAAGGUACGAGAAUCAUUGGUUUCAUGUUUAAGUCAUUUGUUUUGACAAACAGGUACAAAUUGAUUUUUACUCCAUUUACUGGAAAAGACAACCAUGGAAAAUGUGUUACAUUUGGCGGUGCUCUUAUAUCAAACGAAGACAUGGAUUCUUAUCUUGGGUAUUGGUCAAAUUUGCUGAACUAAUGGGGAAUGCACCACGGCUAAUAAUAACCGACCAAGACCCAGGAUUAAGAAAAGCUAUUGCGUCGUCGUGGAAGGAAACCCGCCACAGGUUUUGUAUGUGGCACAUAACAAUGAAGCUCGCUGAAAAGUUGCCUUCGAGACUGAAUAAGGAUCCAGAAUUCAAGACAAAUUUUGACAACAUUGUGACUAAAAUGAUAAUAUUAUCAUAUAAUACAGAUUUGAUAGAUAAUAUUAUCAUAUAAUACAUACACCCUAGUAAAUUAGAUUAAUGAAUAUAUAUAUAUCAAUCUUUUGAACACAUCAAUAAACAUAUCAAUAAAUUCUCUGAAGAUACCCAUACAAGUGACUAACAUAUAAAUAGAUUUAGUGUGUUUAUAUAAAUUAAUUAAUACGUUCAAUAAAAUAUAAUAAAAUGUUCGUAACCAUUAUAUCGCUUCUCAACUCCUCGUAACAUUUGAGCUUCUCAAUUUAACCUUUACCAAUGUAAAUAUAUAUCAGAUUAAACAAGGGGACAAAAAAAAACUCCGACAAAAGAAAAAGAAUAAAAAAAAAUAACAAGACAAAAAAUGACCAAAUCGACUCUUGAUAUAAUUUAAAUGUGUAAUGUAUUGCCCAUUUGUAUCGCCAACACAAUGGUUAAAUCUUGAACUAAUAUCACGAAGUUAAUUUAAAAUCUCCUGAAACUAAUAUCACAUAAUCAAAACAAAUAUGUAGUAUUUGUUUCUAUUUAGCAUAUUAAUAUUAUCGAAUGUAUUUUAAAAAGUGUUUAUGCAGAACACCAAGAUUUGAUGGAUAAUAUUAUCAUAUACGUACACACUUGUAAAUUAGAUUAAUGAAGAUAUAAAUAAAUCUUUUGAACAUAUCAGUAUAAUUGACGAACAUACAAGUAUAUUUAAUUUGUUUGAAAGGACAACACCGACAUGUGCCAAGACACCAGGUCAAACCCGCGUUCGUCAACUUAAUUGAUAUGUUCAUUAGAACGUACUAACUUGUUCACAACCAUUAUAUUGAUUCUCAACUUAUCUACACUUUUGAGCUUCUCAUUAAAACCUUUGCCCAUACAAAUAUAUAUUACAUUAAAAAGGGACCAACUAACUCAAAAAAAAGAUUAAGAAGAUUAUUAGAUUAAUUAAAUUAAUCUUGUCUCUAAGUAAACAUGCAUAUAAGGGUAGGAUCUAUUGGGAAAUUGUAAAUUAGAUUAAUGCACAUAUCAAUAAAUUAUCUGAACAUAACCAUAUAACUGACUAACAUAUCUGAACCAUAUGAUCAGUUAUAUUAAUCAAAAUUUAACAAUAGUAACACAUACUCACACAUCUACUCCACAAUUAGCGCAAUAUUGACUUAGAAAAAAUGGGUAAUUAAAAUAUAACAACGUCAAACUGUAGUAUGAGUCUAGGUAAAACUUUAAAAUUAAAAAACUAAAUACUCCGGUUUGCUCCUUAAUAUCUAACACCGAAAGGACUUCUCAUCAAAAAAAUUAUAACAUCGAUAAAGUGUUAUCAACCCAUAAGUUUAACAUCAAAAUCAGUAGCUCCACUUGCGCAUAACUGUGAAUAGUAAUCAACGGCUUCCUCUACAACCUCUUGCCGAACAUCGUUUUCACUCCACAUCAAAAUUGAGGAACAAUACCUAACACGCAUUCUACAUAUUUGGCGCGCGGAAGACUUUGACAUAUUGCAGUUCCAGUUAUGUGAACUAUCCCCCAUAAAUGUCUCUAGAUGCCUCAUUAGAUACACACCUGAAUCGACCUCAUUUCGAACAUCCGACCAUUUCAUCCUGACAAUCUCUAUCGGAGAAUUCAAUACAAUUAAUGCCUUCCGAUCCUCAUUAAUAUAAUAUAAAUAAUCUGAUAACAUUGAACACUGCAUUGGUAAUUCGUUAUUAGUAUGAUUUAGUAUAAAAUACAAUACCAUUUAAUAAAAUAUACGAUACAAGUCGUAACGAUGAACUUACCAAACUAUUGCAUAGUUGGUUGUACUUGUCACAAUAAUCAGUCCCAUGACAAUCAAUAGUGCUGUCCAAAACAAACAGUCGUUGCCUAAUAGUAUCGACACAUAUUGCAUAUAGCAGAGGAUCUUCAUAGAUCGGGAAAAAAAACUGAAAUAAAAAUACAUAGUAUCAAAUCAAUUAACAAUGGUGCAACUAUAACUUUAAACAAAUUUAAAACUUACCAUAUCAAUAAGGCUGACUGGAUUUAUCUGGUAUUCUUGGAUCUCCAACAUCAUCUGAUUAAAGAAUGACUUUUGCUUUUGUUGAUAUGAUUGGCCAAUCGGAGCUAUGCAAUCAACCUUACACAUAUCAUGGAAAGAAAAUCGCUGAAGUAAUAAUGGAUAAUUAUGUUAAUCGAAAUAUUUAUGUAUUAAACGAAAUUACAUGUAUUUCCGUCGAGGCAAAAAAACGGGUUGGAUAUUCAGGACGACAACGCUCAUCACCAUUUAAUAUUAUGCUCCAUGCAUUAAUGACAGAGGGUUUCACACAGUGUCCUCUCUUCAAAGUCGUCAGAUCAUACCUCCUCAGCACAAUGUCUUUGUAACUAAAUAAGACUUUAGUCCUGCACGAUUCAAUUAAACGGGUAUGUAUUUAACAAUUUUACAUGUAUUGUAUUAUAUUUUAUUAAUUUAAAAAGAUUAAAAAAUAGCAUAAAGGCAUACUCUUCUCCUGCAUCUUUGUAGAGUGCAUACAUCCCAAUCUGUUUUUCCCGACUCCCCAGUUGUAAUCUCGUGCAUAUUCCUCGCUGCACAUUUUGUGAUUGGAAAUUGGAUGUUCUCAAAUUUAAACCCUUCUUUAUCUGUGGUGGUGUUUGGAUGCCGGAACCUACAGUCUGCUAACCAUAGUUCAAUGAAAAUUUACACUACUAUAAAGUAAGAUACAAUUAUACAAGAAAACAAUAAAAGAGGAUACCAUAUUCUCAAUACUCCUUAACGGAAGUCGAUUACAAUCGGAUGCUGCAUCCUGUAUCGUACGGAAAAAUUAAUUGCCAGCGACUUUAAUAAGUGUUCCAUUUAAAUAUAUAAAACAACAAGUGAGGAUAACUUAUGUAUACAUAUAUGUAUAUGUAUUUAAAAAAAAAAAAAAACCUUUGCACCAAACGCUACUAAUGGAUGAGGGUAUGUUGAACCAAGCAUCAACUUCUUCGAAGUAACCUAUAUUAUGUGCUAUGUUGUGAUGUAAUCAUGAAAAAAAAUGGUAAUAUUUACAUAUCAUACUACUCCAUAUUCGUCUCACAUAACAUACCCGUCCAACCGGGCUGGAACGUCGUUCAGGACAAACUAGACCCAUAACAGGAGAGUGAAUAACCUGAACAACAGAACAUUACAACGUUUUUAUAUUAAUAUUUAAAAAAAUGCAAUCCAUUUAACGGAAUUGAUUAACGUCGAAUUCUCCAUCAUCCAAAAUAAACGUCAUAACUUCAAAACUAUGUAAAUUACCUCUUGAUCCUUAGCUGCCUUGUUUUGAUUAACGUCCAAUUCUUCAUCAUCCAAAAUUGUUAAGUCAAAGCUAGGAAUAUCAAUAGCUUUAGGGCGAACCAUUUUUUUUUCUUCGGAAGAAGUUGCACCAGAAACACUAUCAACAUAUCGUAAGAAUUCCUCGGGAUACUCGAUCUCGUCCUCAAUUUCAAUUUCAGUAGUCGACGUUUGGGAUUUAGUCGUCGGUAUGUUUAGGUCUAUAGUAAUCCCGGUCAAGUUACAUGCCUCCUUGACAGUCUUGACGAAGAACGGUGAUUUCUUAGCAGUUACUGGUGCACCAUCCACCAAAAGAGACAACUUCUUCAUCCGUUCAGCAAUUUCAUUAGCAUCUGCCAUUAUCCUAGCUGACAAUAAUCUCUCCUCCUCAGAUAUUCCGUACUCACCAAUGUAUUCAGUAUAGUAAUUUGGAAGCUGUAUUGGUUCCACAAUAGUAACAGGAACUAUAUCUUCCUCGUCAAGCUCCAUGCUUUGCCUCUUUCUCAGCGCAGCACUUGACCAAUUGAUAAAGAUCGGGAAUUCCCUUUUUGAUGUUGACCCAGGCAUAUGCAGACGAUCGACAUAGAAUAGCUACAGAACGAAAAAUAAAUCAAUAAAAAAAAAUACAAAGUUUAUGAAACCACAAUGUUUAUAUACAUAUCAAAAAACAUAAAUAUGAAAGUUAUACUUACGAUUAAAAACAAUACAGGUCCAGCAUAUACUUUGUUUUCAUCCCCUCCCCAUGUUUUAGAAUUUUUUUUAAGGCUCCCUAUCAUAUACUCGGCCCAGUUCCAUCUUCCCAAAUUCCGCAUUUCGGAAAGACACCCCAAUAUGUACGGAUGCACGGUACCAGUGGGGUAACUCUCAAACAAUGAGAACCCCAUAGCAAUCAUGAAAUGUCUUUUGAACCAGGUCCCACCACACUUACAGCCAAGCAUCACAUCUAAAACUAGUCCUAUCUUAAUCUUAUCUCUGUUUUCCACCCCAAAAAAGGAGAACCACUGCUCAAAUAAGUCACUGUUUGACUUACGCUCGAAUAUCUUGAUGGAUUGAUUACCACAUGGAAAGCCAAAUAUCCUAUAAACAUCACCCUGUGUUACCGCAACACGUCUUCUUGCAUCGAUUUCAAGUUCACAUGUUUCGGGGUUGAACUUAUUUUGAACCCAAUACGCAAGUCUAGCCGGUAUGUCCUUUACUUUCAACUCUAGGAGUCGGCCAAAUCCAAUGUCUCGAACAGCAGAUUUCUGUGCGUCAUUCAACUUCUUUAAAGCAUCAUGGAACGCGGCUGGGGUGGUCCUAAGAUUCAAUGAUGGACCCUUAUGUUUUCUUCUAGCAUAUACCUUUGUUAUGUGUGGCUUCGCUUCGGAUUGGAAGCAUCGAACGCUAUCUGGAGUUGUCAAGUCAAUUACAUUAGUUGAUGGCAUUCUUGGAACUGUCGGUUUUAUGUCUGAAACAAAUGCAUGGAAACAUGUCAUGGGGUCAGCAGCAAUUCAUAUGUUAUAUUAUUAAAGAACGGGUGUUACAGAUUUACCCCUGUUCACGUUCCGUUUUGCUCCUACAGAUAAUGACCCAUACACAAACGGAACAAACGAAGCCUUUGUCUUUCCUGCAUACAAAAAUAUUCUUUUACAUAUAUCUCUUGACGUAUAGAAACGAUGACAUAACCUAUGUUGUGAUGAUACAUUAAUAUUUUUCAUUAUGCAGUUGCCUAUAAUCUAUAUGGUAUACCUUUAUCACUUAAAGAAAGCCGGGGAUUUGUAACUUUCGUCCUCUUUUUGUCUGGCGAUAUGGAAUUAGAUGUGGCCGCAUCUGUAUCAAAGUACAAACAUAGUUUUACAAAGAAAUAAUAUGUGACUAAAAUGAUACAACUCUUUAGUUUCGCAACUUUUAUAAUGGUAUGUGGAAGACAAAAUUUAGGUGAUGAUCGAAAUCAUUUAUUUAUUAUUUUUCAUGACAUUCCAACUUCAAAAAUUCAUCUUGCUGACGCUCGGCAAAAAAAACGCAUUCAAAAAUUCAACUUGCUGAUGUACAGUUAUAAAAAAAGCAUUCAAAAAAUAUUCUUGCUGAAGUUCUACGAUAAAAAAGCAUUUAAUAUGAGACAUAUUGCUGAAGUUCAGAAAUAUACAAGCUAAGUUCAACAAAAUGUUACUUAUGUUCAGAAUCACAAUACAACAGUAAAAAUGUCCAAAAUGAUGUUGAAUUGGCUGAUCUCCUCAGAAUCUCGUUUCUAUACUUCAAAAAAUUGGCUGAUCUCCUCAGAAUCUCAUUUUUUGCAGGUUAUGUAGCACAAUAAAACAUCAUGAACAUGCUCUAGGCUCUACUAUAUAUAUGGCAAAGCAAUGACUUAAACAAGUGCUUCAUAAACUGGUUUCUAACAUAGGGCUUAUUCGAUUUUAUCCGAUCGACUAAGCUUCCCCUCAUUCUACCCACUACGAGAAAUAGGGGCAUAAACAUUGCAUUUGGGUUUCUCAGCAAGACACCUCAAAGCACUUAGAAUACGAAAACUAUUAAUUAAAUAAGGUAUGCAAAUUCAGCUAUUUUACGCAGUUACCGAACAAGAACACAACCAUCAAUUUAAUUGUGAAUCCUAGUUUUUCGGUUGAUGUUUAAAAAACAAAGUACCGAAUCAAUUCACAAAUAGAACUGCAAAAGAACUUGGCUCGUUUAGAGUCAGAAAAAGGAAAAAAAAACAUGGAUAAUCAUAUAUAUCACCAAUCGCUAACCAAAAAAAUCUAUAAUCCUUUGAACAAUUGUGAAAUACAGCAUCGAUAAUUAAAUAAGAUGUUCCAAAUUAUAUACAUACAAAAAAAUUGAAAAUGGUGAACAAUUAAAAACAACACUACAUUCCCUAAUAAAUUUUACCUGUUUCUUGUUGACGAUCCAUCUUGUUCUUCUCGUAUGUUGUCAGGAAUAUGGAACAAAUAUGAAAACUUAAUAAACAAUGAAUAGAAUUGUGGAAGAAAUUCGUUGAACUCUGAAGGCAUCCUCAUCUACAAUGUAACUGAUAUCUCUACAAGGAAAGUGAGAUAAAACCGAUAUUUGAUUAGGAUUCCAUAAAUACAACCCAAAUAAAUUGACAAUUGUAACCCUACAGCUUAUAAAUUCAAGAAUAUCGCAUAUUUUGGAAUUGCAAAACUCUUGAACGGGAUUAAAUCUUGAGCGUUGGAUGAGAUGAAACAGACGCUCCAGAUUCCUUCUUAAUUCUAAGCCUAAGAACGUUUCUUUGCGGAGUGUGACCCUAUAUAUAUAUAUAUAUAUAUAUAUAUAUAUAUAUAUAUAUAUAGUAGGAGAAGUACAAAAAAGAACCAAAAUAAAAGAAGAACGGAGAACCAUUUUAAGCCAUUCGAUCAUCAAGAUCUACAGUGGAUGCAUCAUCUUGGUGGAUGAAUGCAGAUGCUGGGUUCGGAAUCCUGAAGGGGAAGACAAAAAAAAUAAUUUUUUCGGUAUGCAUUAAAUUUAAUAGCGGAUGCAUUAAUUUGUAUAGCAGAUGCAGUAAUUUUAUUGGUUCUUAUGUUCUCACGAUAAUUGUGGUUCUCACUAUAACCGCACCCUAUAUAUAUAUAUAUAUANNNNNNNNNNNNNNNNNNNNNNNNNNNNNNNNNNNNNNNNNNNNNNNNNNNNNNNNNNNNNNNNNNNNNNNNNNNNNNNNNNNNNNNNNNNNNNNNNNNNNNNNNNNNNNNNNNNNNNNNNNNNNNNNNNNNNNNNNNNNNNNNNNNNNNNNNNNNNNNNNNNNNNNNNNNNNNNNNNNNNNNNNNNNNNNNNNNNNNNNNNNNNNNNNNNNNNNNNNNNNNNNNNNNNNNNNNNNNNNNNNNNNNNNNNNNNNNNNNNNNNNNNNNNNNNNNNNNNNNNNNNNNNNNNNNNNNNNNNNNNNNNNNNNNNNNNNNNNNNNNNNNNNNNNNNNNNNNNNNNNNNNNNNNNNNNNNNNNNNNNNNNNNNNNNNNNNNNNNNNNNNNNNNNNNNNNNNNNNNNNNNNNNNNNNNNNNNNNNNNNNNNNNNNNNNNNNNNNNNNNNNNNNNNNNNNNNNNNNNNNNNNNNNNNNNNNNNNNNNNNNNNNNNNNNNNNNNNNNNNNNNNNNNNNNNNNNNNNNNNNNNNNNNNNNNNNNNNNNNNNNNNNNNNNNNNNNNNNNNNNNNNNUAGUAUAUAUAUAUAUAUAUAUAUAUAUAUAUAUAUAUAUAUAUUUGCUGUUGUGCUGCUAUGUUGCUAUGGAUACUGAAAUUGAGAAGCUGAUAUGUCGACAUAAGUGAUUGAGAUUGAGAAGUUGACGUUCUAAUACAACUGCUGCUUUCGGAUUGAGAAGUUGACGUUCUAAUCUACAAAAUGGCUGUUAUGUCGACCAAAUAAGCAUAAUUCUAUCUCACAGCAAGCAACAAUUAUAUGUAUUUGUACAAGGAACACACAUAGCAUUGAGUAGAAAUAAAACUGGUAGUGAGAAAUUGGACUUAUAAACAUAGACCAUUCUUUUUUACACCAUAUCUAAGAAUAUGAAGUGAAGUCAAAAUACAAAAUAUUUAAGCAAAAGAACCCUAUAGGGUAAAGUCAGAAUUUACAUCUAGCAAAGAUUCAAAUGAACCUAUAGCUAUGGCAACCCCAAAACAUAGUAGAAAGUAGGAUUCAUUCACAUCCAUUCUCCCCAAAUUAUUUUUAACCAACCACUAAGCUGACUAUGGCUUCUUGGACAUGAGUAUGUGCACCACAUAUUGUGGUUUUGCCUCGUCCGGAAGUGCCAUAAACAGCUCCAAAGCCUGUACAUCACCUGCCAGAAGUUCAUAUGCUACGAAUUUAUCGUUGAUUGUCAAAGUGGGCAUGUUAUUCAACUGCUCGUACACUUCUUUUCUUGCCUUGCUUAAGUCCUGCUUGUAGCCCAUGCGCGACGCUAUUGUGUCUACCCUUUUGUCAGCAUUCUUGCUAAUUUCUCCUAACACUUCGACAAGUACGUCAACGCCAUCGUUCGCCUUCCGUUUCUUGCUCCCUGAUCUUGCAACACCCACAUUUUUCGAAGGCUGACACACACUAUCAUCGGCUGUCUCGUUCUCUGCCUCUUCCUCGAAUUGUACAUUGUAAGCACCUUGCGUCCCAUCGUUGUCAAAGUUAUCUCCGUCAUUCAUUUCGUAUAUCGUGUCUGCCACAUCUUCCGCUUCAGCCCCGUUCGCACGAUCCUUCCCGAAGAUCUCUUUCCAAUCUUCCAAGUAAUUCCAGCUCUUCUUGCGCAUGUUGGCUGCAUUACGAUCAUUAUACACAACAAAAAAACAGUCUCUUCAAUAAUGCAAUUACUAUUGAUGCUAUGCGGUAAAUACAUGUUCAAUUGACAUAUUUAACAAAAAACGGAUAACGUUACCUUUACAAUUAAAGCCCACUGCUCGGAAUCGCAAUCUAUCAUAUACUUGCCAUCUACGUUGAAACCAAUUCCACUCUUCUCUAAUAUAGUUGUUAGUGAACCAUAAUUCUUCUUCCAUGUGCUUAUUUUUGAAUGAAUGUGAGGCAUGCCCUUUAGGUCCGUCCCUGGAAACACAUUCUUAAUAGCCUCCUCAAGCUUUCCUAGAUAACCAGCUCGGAAGCCGUUGUCGGACUUCCAGCCCUGCACAACGAGCUCCUUCAAAGCAGCGAGAAGAACCUCCUCUUCCCUCACUGACCAGCUUCUUCUAGUCUUGUCGGAUUUCUUGGAUUUGCCACGGCCUAUUUCAUCGCGUGGCGAGGCUGAGCGUGCAAACACCAAAGAAGACAUCAAGUACAUGAUUAUAUGAACUAAAGAGCCACCCAAACGAAGACAUUUUAUAAUCAAUAGCAAUCAAAGUAUGAGCACCAUAGCCAGAUUUUAUAUGAACCACAGAGGCACCCAAACGAUUCUAAACACUACACAACUGAAUAAUUCAAUAGCAAUAACCUACAGGAAUAAACAAGAAUGACUCCAACCUCUACGAUCACGCAGUAUAAUCUAUAACAAUCAAAAUAUGAGCACCAUAGCCAGAUUAAGCAGAAAAUUGAAGAAUCUAUGUAACAGGAAAGUACAAUAACGCAAGAGAUACCAAAGGGAAACUCGAAAUUCUCAUCAAGGAACCGAGUGGGCAUCCAAAAAGCCUUAUAAACAUUGAAAGGAACUAACCUUGAUUGAAUGCACUCAUGGUGUUGACGGAUUUCUUACGACGACGCUAUGAACCUCCAAGGGAAAAGAAAGUAUCAGUCAAGUUGCAAGGGUCGGAUUAUCACUCUCAAAGGAUUUGAAUAUCAUGUUGUACUACCCUCUACAAAGAAUCUAUCGCAGGAAGAUUUCAGUUCUACUUUUUCUAAUGCUGGCGGAAAUUAUUUGCCCUAGACGAAGAGCAAAAAUGGGGGCUAGAAGUUUAUUUUCCCCCCAAAAAUCGCAAGGGUGAAUUAUGUAAUUUUGGUAUUGAAGUGCAGGGUAACAAUGUAAUUUCAGGUGUUAAUCAACACGUUAGUCUUUCUCGUAAAACAAUCUAUAAAUUUUAGUGGAGUGUAUCAAACAUAGAAAAUGAGUUAUCUUGACAUUAGUUAAUAUCUAUCAAACAAUGUUAUAGUUAAUCAAACUCACAAAUUCUGUAUUAAUAAUCCACAUAUAAUUAAUGUCUGCAUAUCUAGGCAACUCAAUCAAACAGGUUAAGCCUUUUGACCCGGUCAUUAGAUAACUUGUCCGCCUAUCAUUAUGCAGUGUGAGGGUCAAGGAAAUUGACAACGGAAUGGAAGCAUGAAAGUUCUGUUCGGACAGCUCAAGUCAACGUCACAGUCAACUCUUGCAUAUAAGCAGGACUACCUUCCAUUCACAAACAUGAAUUCAUUUCAUUUGAGUCCCUCUCCAAAUUCUCAGAAUUACAAAAAUCCAAGCAACAAAAUGUCUGCCUUCUUCUUCAACUUCCUCUUCAUCGUCUUCGCUUUCUUCUCUCCACUCCCUUUCGCAGAAGCAGAUAACUGUUGGCCCGACAGUUGCCGGAGAGGCGGCCCACGGAUCCGAUUUCCGUUCAGAAUUAGGAACAAACAAUCCCCAAACUGCGGGUACCCAGGUUUCGAUGUUUACUGCAACGACAAAGGCGAAACCAUGCUUGAUUUGCCCAUGUCAGUCAACCUCACGGUGAAGAGAAUUCACUACAAAUCUCAACGAAUUGAUCUCUCCGACCCAGAAAAAUGUCUCGGGCAGAAGCUCCAAACCCUCAAUCUCUCCUCGUCUCCCUUCAGAUUCUUCACCGAUUACUUGGAAGAUUACGUCCUGUUCAGUUGUCCCGAUUCUAAAAGAGAUCUUUCAAACCCCGUUGCUUGUCUUAGGGAUUCCAGAUAUCAGUUCUAUGCCGUUCGGAACGAUUCUUACAUGGAUUCAGUUUCCCUAACAUCUUGCACCAACGAGCAUAAUGUUUUAUCUGUUCCGUACUAUGUAUUUGAGAAAAACGAUGUUUACUUGAACUGGUCUGAGCCGGCGUGCGGCGGCAGCUGUGAAGCUCUGGGGAGAAUAUGCGCGCCGCCAAACAACUCGACUGCAAAAUUUCAGUGUGUUGACAAAGGGAAGAGUAACGAAGGUAGAUAUUUCUCAUCCUUAUCUUGCCCUCGGAUAUAUGUUCAUUUUUCUAACAAAAACUAAUCUUUUCCUCUGUCUUGUUUGUGUAGAAGUUAACAGGAAGAUACGAAUUGCAGGUGAUCAUUUCUUUAUUUAUUUUCAAAUUUGCAAUUUCUGUUCUUUUGCUUAUGGUGGUUAGUUGUGUAUAAAUACUUGGGAUGUGUUUAGACAAAUACUCUCUCCGUCCCACUGUAAGUGAGACCUUUUUUUUGGGCACGAGAAUUAAGAAAUGUGUAUUUUGUGUGUAGGUGAAAAAGUGAAAAUGUGUUUAUAGGGAUCAAAAUUUACCCAAAAAGGAAAUAGUCUCACUUACAGCGGGACGCCCAAAAUAGAAAGAGUCUCAGAUACAGUGGGACGGAGGGAGUAAUAUGGAUUAGGUGUCAAUUGUUAUUUUUUGGUAUUUAAGAUAUAAUCUUAAGAUAAUUAAUAUUUUUGUUUGGUAAAAAAAAAUACUGUUGUAGAUUAAAUUAACAAAUUACAAUUUUAAUCUUAUAUAAAUUUAAAUAAGUAAUUUAAUAUAAAAAUAGAAAAAAAAAUUAAUAAUCUUGCAUUGGAUAAAUAAUCCGAAGGAUGAGGCGAUAAUAGUUAUCAAAGUAGAACAUAAUAAGGCAGGGCCUCUCAAUUACGGAUAGCUUUCCUAACUAAUAUGGGUACCAAAUGUCAACAUAAGACAAGAUUAUUUAACUAUAACGUCUUAGCUAGGGGUACCAAACUCUGCUUUAAAAGUAUGACCAAAUUUCAAAAGUAACUGUUAUUUUUAUAUAUUGACCCCAAUUUUCUUUUUUGAUCAAGUUUUUUCUCGGAUUAAAAAUGAAAAUGUGGCCAUAGUUUAUGUAUUUACCGACAAUUAACCAUUUUUUCUAUGUACAUAAGAGCUUUCAUCUUAUUUUAGUUUACAUAUAAAUUAUAAAUUUUGUAUCGAAAUACAUUAAUUUUCAAUUAUUUUAAUUUUUCUCAUAAUUGUAAUUUUUUAGUGAAAAUUAAAAUGCCACUGUGGCUAGUUGAAAUGACAUCGUGGCAACUAAAAUAAUGUAAACAUUCAAUUUUAUCGUUUAAUAUAUGUAUACAUUUCAGACGCACACCUGAAUAUUAACUUGGAGGCAAUUAACAAUCAUGAGAAAAUAAGAACAACUGAAUCUUCAUAUAUUUAGAGUCAAAAGUUUUUAAUUAUUGUAUACAUUGAGGGGUGUUUAUUUUGCAUGAUUGAUAAGAUGCAUGAUUGAAUAUUUUUUAUCAUAAUCAAAGUAGGAUUUCUCUAAUCUCAGUUUGAUAAAAGUCAAGCAAAUUAAACUAUCUUAAAUGAUUAAAACAAUCAAGAGCCUUGAGAUAUCCCAAAAUUACAAUCCAUAAAAAAAAACGAAAAGAUUAAUCUUGCUAUUUCUAUGAAUCAAUCCUAAUCUUUCAAAGUAAACACCCCCGAGAGUAGGGUGAAAGUUGAUGUAUCUAAGUGUAAUUGUACUAAUAUUUAAGUGUCUGUUUGAUUAUGCAGGAGCAACAGUAGGAUCUUUCCUCAUGUUGACAACAAUU
rnacentral:lncRNA from 1 species